UGAGAACAAUAAUCAAAUGCAAAAGAAGGUGCAUUAUUUACAGCAUGCAUAAAAUACUACAUUUCAUAUUGAUUUCUUACUUGUUGCUACAAGAAAGAGACAUGUGACACCUUGAGUUACACAAAACUUUCAUUCUUCUACAUUUACACCUACCGGACUUACAACUGCCUUUCUUACACUGACAAUGCACAAAGCCUUGCCCUCCACUCAACGAUAUCUUACGCACUAUCUCUCUCACACUCAUUUCACUAAUUGGGACUUCACACACUUUUAAGGUUGCAUUUGCAAAGAAUUGAACCUGGUUUCUACUUAAGUAUCCCUUUAUUUGUCCAACUUUAGUUCCAAUUUUGUAUCCGCCAUGUUCAUUGACAUUCAUCACCACGCCUUUUAUGUUUCUCUCGUCGGCAGGGCCCCUAUCAAUGGACGGAAUUGGAAUGAUGACGUUGUCCCCCUGGGAGAGAACAGUUAGUCUAGCUUUUGUGUUUUUGUCAGGUCAUCAGCUUGUACCUGUUGGCCAGAAAGUGCCCUCUUUCGAGCACGCUUGAUGUCAAUAUUUACAUAUAUACAUAAAUAAACAAAUGCUAUUAAUUCUAAUAUCAAUGCAAUACUUUUGAAAUAUCAUAGCAGUGCUUUUGUUAUAUCAAUAUUAGUACUUAAUAUUAGACUUCUGUACCAAAAUUCAUACAAUUUUUACCUAUUAUGUUUGUUUUGUUCACGCAUUGUUGUAAAUAUGACAGAAUUUGAUGAGACUGUCAUAUACGUGAGAGGUUAAGCGCUAUAAAACCAGGUUCAAUCCACCAUUUUCAAAAUUUGAAAAUACCAGUACUGAGUCAGAAAUAUGACAGUUGUUGUCCAUUCAUUUGGUGUGAUUUAUCAUUUGAUUUUGCUAUUUGAUCAGGGACUUUCUGUUUUGAAUUUGCCUCGGAGUUCAAUAUUUUUGUGAUUUUACUUCUUAGUAGUAUUGUGUGUAAAAAGGCAGUUUUCAGACCAUUGCUUACAUUCAAAUUGUUUUUGGUAACAUCUUUCAAAUUUCUUAAUCAUUAAAACAUUAUACCAACAUUAAAACCUUUGAUUUUUCAACUCUUUAUACCACUAUUUCACAUUCUAAACUUAAAGCUCGACUGAAAGAACUCGUCAGCUUAUGUUUCUUUAACAAAAUGGGCACUAGACUUUUUAAAUAUUUAGUUUUGGACAGGAAUUCAGCUUACUUUGUGAAAACUAAUACAGAGUCAAGCAAAACAUACACCGAAUAGGAUAGCACUGCCAUGCUGGACUUUUUAAUUGACAACAUAUUUGUUAAAUUUGGAGGUUUGGUCUUCCAACAGACUAUUGGAAUCCCAAUGGGUACCAAUUAAAUUGCAGAUUUGUUUUUGUAUUCCUAUGAAGCAGAAUUUAUCCAAGGGCUUGUACAGAAAGGAGAAAAGAAAUUAGCCCAGUCUUUUAUUUUCACCUUUCGGUAUAUUGAUGAUGUACUGUCUCUUAAUAAUAAUAGAUUCAGUGAUCACUUACAUUUAAUAUAUCCAAGUGAACUUGAAAUUAAAGAUACUGCCGACACAGAUAAAUCUGCUCCAUAUUUAGACCUUUUUCUCGAAAUGACUACUGAUGGUAGGGUAAAUACUAAAAUUUAUGACAAACGCGAUGUUUUCAAUUUUCCUAUAGUCAACUUUCCAUUUCUGUGUGGCAACAUCACAGCGGCACCGGCAUAUGGAAUAUAUGUGUCUCAAUUGAUACUUUACUCUAGAGCUAGCUCAAAUUACGUCAAUUUUUUUGAACGACGAGGAAUACUGCCUUCUUAAAAGUUGCUAAGACAGGGCUAUGAAUCAUCACUCAAGAAAUUUUACGGUAGCCAUCAUGAGCUUAUUGGCCAUUAUGACAAAAGUGUGUCAGAAAUCAUAUCUGAUAUUCUUCCUCAGUCAUAAUAACCUUCCAUCAUUUCCGAACUGAACAAAGAAAUAACACGAAGGGUGCCGUAUACGGUGCAGGAAAUGCUUACCCUUCCGGAGCACCUGAUUUCACUCUCGGUUUUUAGUGAAGUUCGUGUUGUUUCUUAUUAUUCAUAACUGUUGAUGUAAAUGUCUUUUGGUUUUGUGAGUCUAUGUUUACUCCUUGGUUUUGAUUGUUAUUGUCUUCUCAAUUGGUU
rnacentral:lncRNA from 1 species